GCACUAUGCACUGGGCUCUGACAGGACUGGAUGGUAAGCUCCCAAGUUGCCAUUUUCUAGCUGUGGGACUUCAGGUUGGUCCCUCAACCUCUCUGUGCCUCAGUUGCCUCACUGAUAAGAUUGAGAUAACAACAGUUCCUACCUGGGACGAUUUUUUUUCUUUCCUGUUUUUUUGGUUUUUGUUUUUGUUGUUUUUUAUUUUUUUGAGAUGGAGUCUCACUCUUGUUGCCCAGGCUGGGGUGCAGUGGCUCGAUAUUGGCUCACUACAACCUCCACCUCCUGGGUUCAAGCAAUUCUCCUGCCUCAGCCUCUUGAGUAGCUGGGAUUACAGGCACCCACCACCAUGCCCAGCUAGUUUUUGUAUUUUUAGUAGAGACGGGGUUUCACCAUAUUGGCCAGGCUGGUCUUGAACUCCUGACCUCAGGUGAUCCGCCCGCCUCAGCCUCCCAAAGUGCUAGGAUUACAGGCGUGAGCCACUGUGCCUGGCCGAUUUUUUUUUCCUUUCAAUCACUUUUUUUAUAACUACUUAUUGUGUGCCAGACACUGUGCUAGGUUUUAGGGAAUCCUGCUCUCGUGGAGGUGACAUUCUGUGAGGUUGGCAGGAUAAUGAAGAGGAACACAAUUCUCAGCACAGAGAAAAGUUCUGCUCAACUGGUGCACCCCAUUUAUUCUAGUUCUUUCCAGGGCAGAGUCACCCUUUCCCCAACCCCCUCCUUUCAGCUCUGUGGCUGGGGAAACAGCCCCCACCCCAACCCACCACAUCCCUUGGAACACCCUAGGGCCUGGAGGUGCUGGGGCCCUUUCAGAAAAACACCCUGCCAAGAAUGCAUCACCCCGCCAGGGCGCCGACCAAGGAAAACAGAGGGCCUGAGGAGGGAGAUCAGACAGGCCCUCAGGCCAGGCCAUUGGAGGGGCAGGCGCAGCAGGAAAGCCGAGUCAGGCACCAGGUGAAAUAUGACCUCCAAAGCAUCCAUAGGCAUUUCUUGUAUAAACACCCCAGUCCAGACAGGAAGUGGGGCUGGGGGAACUCGAGGGGGAUGUGGCCCCACAGGACCCCCCAGAGGCAGACAGAUGGACAGGAAAGCGGGGGAGGAAGAGGUCAGUGGAGAAAAACAAAGAGGGUGUGGGAUGUGGAGAGAAGAGAGUGCUGCUGGGGAGAAGGAACAGCCCAUAAUACUCCGCUCUCAUACAGAGAGAGGCUUCCAUUUGCUUCUCAUCAUCCAAGAGGUACAGAAUCACCAGACAGUUGGGGAAACUGAGGCUGCAAGAAGCAAUGAGGCCAGCAUCCUGUGACUGUUUAUCAUCUGUUGCCCCCGAGGGUCCUGCCCAGAGGCACUCUGGAAUGUUCUGUGAAGAAUUGUUUGUCAUGACCUUCCUGAGACCCCACAGUGGGUUGGUGGCCAAGCUGGGGCAUAGAUCUGGGUUUCCAAUGGUGUCUUCAGGCCCCAGGAUGACCUCCAGAGGCCCAGCGCAUUCCUAAGGCUCUGCCGCAGCUCCUGCUGACAGAGCGGGGUCAGCCUGAAAUCACCCCAGGCCUCACGACACAGAGUCACUCUGUAUAGUGGGGACUCCACCCGGCACCUUCCAGUCCCAGAGUGCUGGACUGAGCCUGGCAGUCCCCACUGGACAGAUGGGAAGGCUGGGGACCCAGGAAAGCAUGCAAUUUACCCAAAGUCACACAGUGAGUUAGUGGUGGGAUCAGAACCCAUGUCCUUCUCAAGUCAGUGGAAAAGUCUGUUUGUUUGUUUGUUUGUUUGUUUCCCAAACCACGGUAGCCAGAGACUGCAGAGUUUGGCCCUACCUUUCAGAGUCUGUAUCCCAUGGCCUGAGCUUAAGGGGAGAUGAUACCAGGGCUGGGCCACCUCUGGAGGGCUUCGAGGGGACAUGCUCAGGAUUGACUCCUAGGCAAUGGGCUUAUUCAUUCAUUCAUUCAUUCAUUCAUUUUAGAGACAGGGUAUCACUCUGUCACCCAGGCUGGAGUGCAGUGGCAUGAUCAUGGCCUACUGCAGCCUCAAACUCCUGGGCUCAGGCAAUCUUCCCAUCUGUCUCAGUCUCCAGAGUAGCUGGGACUACAGGCAUGUGCCACUACGCCUGGCUAUAUUCAAUUUUUUUUUUUUUUUUUGUAGAGAAGGCAUCUCGUUAUAUUGGCCAGGCUGGUCUCAAACUCCUGGGCUCAAGCCAUCAUCUUGCCUCGGCCUCUGAAGAGACUGGGACUACAAGUGUGUGUCACAACACCAGGGUUGGGCGGUUUUAAUAAGGGGAGAGGAGAAAGAGACUGAGCACAUUCCCCAGCCCUUCAGGAGGCAGGGGGUUUCCGGAGGGUCCCGGGACCCGCCUCAACUUCCACCCAAAGUGGGAAGGGAGAAAUGGCCCCGUCCUUAACCGAGGGACCAGCCCACAUCCUUGCCGCCAGUCAUGAUGGGGUGGGUGCCGCCCCAUUGAACUUCACGGAUGCCCUACCCUCUUCCCCACCCUGCCCUUCUCACUCCAGGUUUGGCUCCUUGAAGCCAGGUUUCCACCGCACACCCGAGGCCCCGCCCCUCUUCCCCAGCUGGCCCCGCCCCUCGAAGCCCUGCCCUCAUCUCUGCCGGCCCCACCUCCGCGCCCCGGCCAGGCUCACCUUGGUCUCCGCCAGUUGUCGCUUGAGCAGCUGCAGCGCUUCGGUGUGUUCCCGCUCGCUGUCUUGAAGGGCCUGAAGUUGGUCCUUCAGCUCCCUCUGAAACACACACAGGGCCGGGAUGGGGGCAGGGGCCAUGCCUGGCCCAGGCAUUCAGCCCUGACCACUGCCAGGCGCUGGGGGUUAGCCUGGUCUCUGUCCCCAACCUCCAACACUUGCCUCCCGUCACAGUUCAACCACCAGCAAGUCCUGUAGAGUCUGUCUCCUAAACACCUCCAGAACCCGUCCGUAUCUUUCACCUGCAUCUUUGCAACAACCUCCUCCUCUUUGGCCACCCUAGAGGCUUCUGUGACAAUCGACUUCCACAUACACACUCUCUGGCUCCCCACACUUGGCCCUGGAUCCCCGCUUAGAAUUAAGGCAGGGGUCUCCAACCCCCAGGCCACAGGUGGGUAUUGGUCCAUAGCUUGUUAGGAACCUGGACGCACAGCAGGAGAUGAACAGUGGUGGGGAGGGGCAAACCAUCUGUAUUUGCAGCCGCUCCUCAUCGCUGGCAUUACCACCUGACUCCACCUCCUGUUGGAUCAGUGGUGGCAUUAGAUUCUCACAGGAGUGUGAACUGCACAUGGGAGGGAUCUAGGUUGCCUGCUCCUUAUGAGAAUCUAAUGCCUGAUGAUCACUCACUGUCUUCCAUCACCCCCAGAUGGGACUGUCUAGCUGCGGAAAAACAAGCUCAGGGCUCCCACUGAUCCUACAUCAUGUUGAGUUGUGUAAUUAUUCCAUUAUAUAUUACAAUGAAAUAAUAAUAGAAAUAAAGUGCACAAUAAAUGU
rnacentral:lncRNA from 1 species